GUGGGGAAUUUUGGACAAUGGGCGCAAGCCUGAUCCAGCAAUGCCGCGUGCAGGAAGAAGGCCUUCGGGUUGUAAACUGCUUUUGUACGGAACGAAACGGUCCUGGUUAAUACCUGGGGCUAAUGACGGUACCGUAAGAAUAAGCACCGGCUAACUACGUGCCAGCAGCCGCGGUAAUACGUAGGGUGCGAGCGUUAAUCGGAAUUACUGGGCGUAAAGCGUGCGCAGGCGGUGCUGUAAGACAGGCGUGAAAUCCCCGGGCUCAACCUGGGAAUUGCGCUUGUGACUGCAGUGCUGGAGUGCGGCAGAGGGGGAUGGAAUUCCGCGUGUAGCAGUGAAAUGCGUAGAUAUGCGGAGGAACACCGAUGGCGAAGGCAAUCCCCUGGGCCUGCACUGACGCUCAUGCACGAAAGCGUGGGGAGCAAACAGGAUUAGAAACCCGAGUAGUCC
rnacentral:rRNA from 1 species